rnacentral:tRNA from 1 species
GCUGGCGUAGCUCAACUGGCAGAGCAGCGGUUUUGUAAACCGCAGGUUGCGGGUUCGAGUCCCACCGCCAGCUCCA